CGAGCCUGAAGAAAAGUAGAAGCUCGCUUUUCGGCUUUUGCUUUGCUUUCUUUUGUUUUUCUUUCUCUCGCUUUCCGCCAACUGUAGCCCGCGUACUGCGGCAGCACGGAGAAGGUUUUUCCGGUCGCCUGAGGACGUGGUGAUAGGCGGGCGCGUAAGGGGGGCCGGGGGACGACGCAGAAAUACAUCUUCGCUUCGUGGUCGUUUUCUUUUCUUCGAUGCUUGCUUUCAAGCCACCAUACUGUGAGGAAGCCUAAGCAGCUCCAUGGAAAAACAACACGCAAAUGUUACAGCCAAUAGCCCCGGCUAAAGUCUCGGUUGGUAGCCAGUAUCACCCCCAGACACCUGAGUGAAAGAGCCUUCAGAGGAUUCUAGCCCACAGCCUUCAUAUGUUCCCUGUUGAGGCCCCAGACAUCACUGAGUAAAGGCAAGCCUCCUCUGUUCUGCCUUUUGUGAAUUCUUGACCCAAAGAAUUCAUUAGCAUAAUAAAAUGGCUGUCGUUUUAAGCUAUUGAUUUUAGGAUGGUUUGUGCCACAGCAAUAAUAACCAGAACAACACCAAGACACCAAAAGAAAUGAAGACCGUGGUGUCUAUGGCAACGUGCCAUCUAGAUCUCCUUCAUGAGAAAUUGCUUGCUGCAAGGAGCAUAGUUUGUUCAGAGUCCCAGCUGCAAUCUCUCUAGAUCAGAACAAUAUUCAUCCCAAGGUUAUGAUACAUCCUUCCCUCCUUGCCUCAGCUGCACCCAAUGACAGAGCACAGGGGCAGUAGCACUAGCCCAGUCUUGCUGAUGCCGUACUGCCUCUAAUGAGCAACUUUGGCUGAGGACUCCCUUUUAAUCUGGACAAAACUUUCUUAAGACUGCGCUAUAGUCUGAAACUCCUCCUACCAAGUCCCUCUCCUUUCCCAGGUGUAGACCUGCACUAUGGUCUGAAGUCUCUUCAUGUCUAUCCUGCUCCUCCCUCUUUGUUCUUCCCAAUCAAUCUCUUGCAUGUCUAAUCUCAUCUUGACAUUUACUUCUGCAAAAAUACUAACUCAUAAAGCUAUUCUGUGAUAGUUCCGUAUUCUUCUGAUGUAGACACACAGGAAACAACUGUAUCUUCCUGGAAAAUGCUCAUUUGUACAAAUACCAAAAGUGAAAUAAUGGGCUUUCGGGACCCUUCACUACAACAACAUUUAUGUAUUUAAUGAUGGUUUUCUUUGUAAGAAAAUAACUCCUUUUCUUUUACUUAUCUUCACUAUCUAUUACUCAAUUGACAAAGUCACGUUGAAAUCAGAUUUCUACAAUGGGCUAGCCACUUCCAAUCUCAGGUAAGUGCCAUUAAACACAUAAUAAACAUUUCACUCUUCUCUGAACUUCAUCAAAGUGUUUUAAUAUUAUUGUAUCUAAGAUUAAUCCCUGAAAAUCAAGACUACAUCAAUAUUAAAGCAUUAUUGCUAUUUAACCUUUUUUGCAGUUGUGUAUUUGCCUCAUAUUGUUAAACUCACUUUUUUUUUUUAAAUGUUUAUUUUUAAGAGA